rnacentral:snRNA from 1 species
AUAAUUCCCUGAUACAAUGAUCAUGAAGGUGGUUUUCCCAGCACGGACUUAUCCAUUGCACUCCGAACGUACUGACCCCUGCAGUUUUCCUAAAUGUGGGAAAGUCGACUGCCUAAUUUGUGGUAGUGGGUGACUUUUCCCU